rnacentral:snRNA from 1 species
UGGCUAAGUCCGUUCGGC